UACAGAGGGGGCAAGCGUUUGUUCGGAAUUACUGGGCGUAAAGGGCGCGUAGGCGCCUGUUAAGUCGAACGUGAAAUCCCCGGGCUCAACCCGGGAACUGCGUCCGAUACUGGCAGGCUUGAAUCCGGGGAGAGGGAUGCGGAAUUCCAGGUGUAGCGGUGAAAUGGCGUAGAUAUCUGGAGGAACACCGGUGGCGGAAGGCGGCGAUCCU
rnacentral:rRNA from 1 species